rnacentral:lncRNA from 1 species
GGACUGUGAGAUGGCCAAUGACGGUCUGACCCGUUGGGCCGGGCCAGGUCGCGGACAACGUCGACCGUUUGUUUAAGAAGCGUGGACUCUUGUCCUGAGUGCACCGAGGCUUUCAGCCUGCGGGACAGUGGUGCGAUUUGCAUUAGAGCCUAUCUCCCAGGACUAUGGAAGCCCCAUGCAGGAACAUGGUUCUGACACUUUGGGGAUUAUACCCUAAGCUUAAAGGACUGGAAAAGCCCCUGAAGUCCCGAGACCACAACCCUCCACCUUCUAAAGAUAAGACAAGUCACUGAAGGUCUCAGAACUGUGGCCCAUUCACCCCUUCCCUCAAGACAAGAGUGUGGCCAAGCAUCAAUCUCACCCCCAGAGACCAGACGGUGUCCAGGUCUUGGGCAGACGAAACCUGCUCCUUGGGGAUGGUCUUCCUGGCUGUGCUUCCAAAGGGCUGGCCUGCAAUCAGCUGGUUUUCACUUGAUCCUUUCGGGGUUUGCAUUAUAUCUGACUGAAGGAAUGAACUGGGAGAGAACAGCAGAGCCGCAGCGGAAUGUGGAAAGGCCCACGUCCAGACUGUUCCCAUUCUGAUUUAAAAGCCUGAUGAAGGAACAGCUGAACUCAGAGAAACAGCAGUUGCCCAUGGAUGGGAGAAGCAGCCUGCCAAGGCCCAGAGAUGCAGGGUUUAAUUCCCAGAGCUCACGGGAAGCCGGCUGAUUGGUGAACGCGCCCGCACUGUGUGCCAUCUGCUUGAGCGUUGUCCUGGUUCACUUCCAGUAUAAAGCUCAGAGUGCAGGAAUAAUAUCCAAGUGCCAGCAAAACCACUUGGGUGGUCGCAAAAUGGAGUGAGGAGGAUCAUGAGGGCUGUGUUUCUGAAGAACCCACAGGGGGAGGCAGCAGGGAUGAACUGCAAAAAAGUGGCAGUCUAUGCUGCACACAUCAGCCCCACAAAAGAAUAACAAAAUCCAGGAGCAGAGAGCUGAGCUACCGUAACUGAGAAUGGCUCCGCAGUGGGGAUGGUUUGAGAACCGUGACCUGGGUCUAGAUGGCCCCUCUUGGAGCUCACUGGGACCCUGCAUACAUUCCCUGCCUAUUGACCUCACACAGCAGUGGCUUAGCUCGGCUGAGAGGAGAACUGUCUGUUCCUCUUUGUUGGUUUAACCAUAUGAUACACAAUCCUGUAAACAAAUUAAUUUCCUCUGGGACUUCUGAAAGCAUGCUAACUGCAUUAUCAUUUUUUUCUGCACAAAGGAAGCUUAGCAAGAAAACAAUUAUGGGAUGGACUUCAAAUGAUCUCCAAAUGGCCAUAAAAUAGAGAUGUAGUCAACAGAGAGGCAGG